AGUAAAAACGAAAAAAAAUAAUAAUAAUAAUGAGAGGAUAAGAUUCUCUAAGUUGCAUGAUUAAGGAGAUGAUAAGAUUUGCAAGUGGUUUUGCAAUUGGUGAUUAAAAUAUUAAUAAAAUAAUAUUAAAAUAAUAAAUAAUAUUAAAAAAAAAUAAAAUAAAAUAAUUUGAAUAGUAAAAUUUUUUUAACUAUAAAUAGCCAUAAGGGGAUGGCUAAAAUUUACACCAAAAACUCUUAGAAUUUUGAGAGAAAGAGAUAGUGAGAGGAAAUUCUGUUGGAAAGGGGAGACUCUGGAAAAUUCUAAAACAAGUUCUGAGGAAGAGAUUAAGUAUGGGAUAGAGACGAGGGAGCGACGUCUGAACCAACACCAGUAAAGAUAAAGGCGGGAGAAUUGUAGAGUAGAGAUCGAGUUAAUCAAUGACGUGUGAAGUUGAUAUAUAAAAAAAAAAAAAUUAUGUAAAAUUUCAGUGUGUAAUCAUGAAUAAUUACCAAUGGACAAAUGUAAACGUUGUGUGAUAUUUUAUGUUUAAAUGAUUUGUGUAAGAAUUUAGGGUGUUACAUUUAGUGGUACCAGAGCAGUUCGUCCUUAGGAGAACCUGCAGGUUGUAUGCUUAAUCUGCCUUCCGUGAAGAGUUGAGCCUAGGUGACAUGAUUUGUCAUGUCUUUCUAAGUUUAAAUCAUAGAGUGAGUAUAGCCAGCUGAAAGUUUUAAGAACAGAAAACAUCUUGAAAAUAGUAUUGAGGGUGCACACUCAUUACUUUAUCCAAGAUGAAUUUCCUUUCUUAAUUCUAAAGGUUCGGGAGGGAAGAGAUGUGGUCUAAGUUUUGUUCUUAAUAGUGUUGUGUGCUAGAUAAUAGUAGAAGGAUACAUAUUUGAAGAUAACUUUAUCUGUAUAUUUUCAUUAGAUUUGGUCAAAUUCUUCGGGACAAGUUUUGCCUCGAAGAAUGGAAGAUGCGGUGUGUUGGAGCCUGGAAGUCAAAACAUCAGAGUUUUUGGUACACAAUGAAAGAGGAAGGAUGUUGUAAUUUAGAAUCGUCGUUUUUUUUUUUGAAGUAGAGGAUCAGAUAUCAAUAGUUGUGCAAUAAGAGUAAAGUUUAAAUGUUAGAAGUAAAGGAACAUUGGCGUAGAAAAGUUUGAGAAAUUAAUUUAAGUGAUGCUUGAAGAUUGGAAGAAGGAAAAUGGUGGAAGGUUUGAAGUUAUGGAUAAAAAAAAAAAAAAAAGAGGUUUACAAUACUGAACUGAUUACCUAGAAUAAUUAGGGAAUUUGGACUAGUUAAGAAGUUAAAGAUUGUGUUAGAGCAAUUUUCAUCAGGUAUAGUUAUAUGGUAAUGUUGAGUGAUGUGAUGAGAUUGAUUAGAGAGGUAUAGUUGUUAGAUGCUAAGUUACAGACAACAGUGAGUCCAUGGGUUUAGGGUUUAAUGUAAAUAUAUUGUUGACCUCAACGGGUUAUGUGAAGAAUGGGUGAGAAUUUGUAUGUUUCACCUUGAUCUUUGACCAAGUGACGCGUGUGUGAGUGAAUUUGUUUAUACUUAUUACUUUUAGUUCGCAUAAGAUAUAAAUUUGAGAUUUGCUUAACACUAAAUAUCCUUAGGAUAUGGUAUUGAAGCACGUUGCAAUUAAGAUGGUGUUGUUGUCAGCCCUGAUAAGCUCCCUAGGAGAGUGGUGGGAGGUACACUUGCACUUGCCUGGUGCAGCUCCAAAUGAGCGAUGGGGGGUGGCAUUGUGUACUUGCCCUGAUAAGCUCCCUAGAUGACGAGUGGUGGGGGGCAAUACUACACCUUAAGAAGGUGUUUAACGACCUUGAUAAGCUCUUGAACAGAGCGAUAGGAGUGACGUAGAAGUGCUAGCCCUAAUAAACUCGUUACAAUUCAGGUUGCGUUGUGGUUAAUUCAUGAUUGUAGUAUUAUUAAUGCGUGAUAUGUGUAUUUAGUUGAUAAAAUAUGUUUCAUAUCGAUAAUUAUAAUCCUAUAAUGUUCAAUCCUUUUGAGUUCUGUAAAGAUGACAUUAAAUAUGAUUUUUAGCUUGUGUGGUCAUCUGAAAUUAAUAAUUAUGCUAGUUAUUCCAUUAUAGUUGAAUUUAAGUUGGAAUUACAAAUAUGUGUUAGCAUAAGAGUAUACAAAUGAAAGCUAGUAUCAAAGAAAUUUCAAUUACAUUAUUGGAAGUGAAUAAAACAAUGGUGUAUCAUAUGACAAAUAUCAUAUAACUCAGAUCUAUAAAGUCAUUAGGACUACUCAGUUUUUCAAAUGAUAGAAUUUUGUAUUGUCUGAAUUUCAUAGGUAUAACCAGAUGCCUUAGUCUUCACAUGAAAAUGGUACCACCAAUGUGCUAAGAAACUGUAUCGUAUAGAGCUGUAGAAAAAUCAUUAACUAGCAUAUAAACAAAGCUAAUAAUAAUCACAAUACAUAAAUAAAAUAAAAUGUUCAAGUGUCGGCCACAAGUGGCCGUUAAGGGUACAGUCCAAAAAUAAAAAUAAUAAUAAUACUAAUAAUAAUAAAAUAAAAUAAAAAUUAGUCCCCUUAAGGAGACUCUUGAACAGUUAUGGCAAUCUCAAAGAAAGCUCCGUGGAAGGAGCUUUGAUGCAAAACAGAAUGGGUUGAGUGAGUUUCACUUCUUCUUCAGGUAUAAAAGGGAUAGGAAAAAGAUCUAGGAGCCUUGGAGCCUGUGGAAUUACCCAUGAAGGAUCUCCGGGUGUGCAAAAAUAAUAGUAGUCAGAGAUAAAUAAAAUAAAAUAAAUAAAUAAAAAAUGCUUACCAUACAUAAACAACGGUAGGAGGGAGUAUGAAGGUUCAGAUAUACUGGAGACGUCUUGCGGCAAGCGUCGAUGCUUAACUCGAUUUCCAUGGUUCUGAAACCAGCAAUAAACGCUGUAUUCUCCGAUUUCCCCGUACUCCCUGAGUUUUUCUGCAAUCUCGCGGAUCUGAUCUCGAGUAGGAUUAAUGACCCCAUGGUUGAAGAUGUUCAACAAGAUGUUAACUUGUUCCGGGGUGGACUGCCAUCGUUUAUAACCCGUCUUGGCUUCCAUAUCCAUUUUUUCUAAGUUUUUGUUCAUGCUUCUUCAAAAAAAAAAAAAA